UAAUCCCUUUCCUUGAGUCUUGGAGAGAGGGACGAGAGAGCGAUCCAUAGAGUGUGAUUGGAACCCCCUGUGAUGUUCCACAGGCAGACAUGAAGAAGCUGUGACUUCCACAUUUCCCCUUCUGGAACCACCCCCAGGUGAGGGAGGAAGCCACACCCGAGACCCUCAAGCGGGGCGUUGCGAGUUCUCUCUGCCUUCCCGUCUCAGCUGAGCCCAGGCUGCCCUGCUGUUCCCGCCACAACUCCAGGCACAGCCCUGGGCUCUGAGGCCGCCCCUCACCCACCUCCAGACUCCGCUGAACAACAGCACUCAAAGGCACGUGGAACAGAAAAAUCGCCCAGAGGAGCCUGGCCAAAUUCCUGACACAUGAAAAUCUGAGACACACCGUAAAAUGGUCUUUAAUCUAAGCAGAUCUGAAGUGAGGCUCCGACCCUUGCUCUGAAGGGGGCAGUGACACGGAAAAUGUUGGGCGCCGGGACGCAGCCGAUUGCCACCUCCCCAUCGCUCCACAUCUCCACGGGCCAGCGCUGCGCGUGGCCAGUUGGAGGGCACGCUGGUGGGGCCAGGCCCCCAGGCAGAGAGCCGCCUGGAGCCCCACGUGCCUGAAUGCCCCCAGGCCUGGCUGUGCCCUGCCUGUUUACGGCCACGCUGCUUGCGUGAUCCUGAUUAGGAUUAUAAUUUGUGCUUCCAGGCAAGAAAAGAAAAACUCCCAUUCCAGAUGAACAAAAUAGCAGAUCACAAAAGUAGAUGGUAAAAC